UGAUGUCUGUCUGUGUUUGAUCAGCUCCAACAGUUCACAUCAGCAGAUGGGUCGUCGUGCCGCUGACUCUGCUGUUGGGGAUCACUGCCGUCUGUUUCUACUACAAGGCCAGCAGGGGGCAGAAGGCGGGCAGACAGGAGAACAUUGAGCUGGUCGACAUGAACGUGGCUGUUGGUGCAGCUGAAGGACCGACUGCAGAGGAAGGAGCUCAGGGAGCAGAGUAGGACCUCCAAGGAGCUCCUCCACAUCCACAUGGAUUGGACGUGUUUAUACUCGUGUUCUCUUUAAACUGUCAGGUUGGAAUUGUUCCAUUAAAUGAUGGACUGUAUUUUUCUGACUGCCAACAUGAAAAGACAACAACAUGUUAGUCUGUCUGUCUGAAUACUUUCUGACUUCCUGCCUGCUCUCAGCUCCAAGCCCAUUGGUUCCUCUGAAGACGUCCAUCUUUAGAAGCUCCUCACAAAUAUAUAGCUGUGGUGACCGAAUGUAUCCGUGACACUGUUAACCUUGAACUGAACUGUGUUUUGCUGUGCUCUGUGUAUUUUGAGGAAUGCGACCACAGAUUGUAACUUUUCUAUCUCACAGCUGUGACUUGCCGCCUGCUGAGAGUUGGGUAGCAAACUCCGUACGAGGAGUUCUUGUGAUAACCUUCAGGGCUACAGAUAAGGCUCAGACUCACAUUACGGGAAGAUUCACUUGUCAGGCUUGGGAACAACUGAACUUUAGUUUCUUGUCAUCAAGUUAAAGGUUUCCGAUCACGUCAGAUGCAGGACAGGAACUGUAUAAAUGUAAAUGACUUUUAUUCCUCUGUGUCAGACUCUGAACCUCUUUGUGUGUGAGGACCUCUGACCUUUCCACUGAAAUACUUUGACUUUGUACUCUGAGUGCUGUUCUUUGGAAUAAUGACAGUUCUUUGCUCAUUUAGUCUUAAUCAGUUAAUCUUCAUUAAUCAUUUAAUCUUAAUCAUGUUAUUCUAACUCUGUUGAAUAAAUCAAAGACAAUA